AUGACAACGGUUACGUCGAUGGAUGCGUCAAGGAGCUGCGCGCCAAUGGGGACUCUUCUGCCACGCGCUGGAGAGGACGAGGCAGACCCCACGGGGACUGGGAGGCUGGACCCACCGGAGAUUCUCACUGAUCGCUCCGUCCAGGGGGGCAGACUGCAGCUGGUGGGACCUGUUGGGCCACCCACGAGGGACGCGGAAGGCGGGAGAGGUGAGCAGCAGGAGUUGGCCCUGGCCUCGGAUAGGGAGCCAAUAAUGGAGGGACUGGCAGCGGACGCUGAAGGUGGGGCCAACGAUGGGAAUCAUGCACAUGCAGCAUGCAUGGUGGCAUGCACGUACGGCGUCACCGAUGAUACAAGUAUGGAAAUGGAGGGUGUUCUCGCUGGUGGGCUGGAUGAGGGCAGGCUGUAG
rnacentral:rRNA from 1 species